rnacentral:rRNA from 1 species
AUUCCGUUAGUUUUACCUGCGGAGGGAUCAUUAGCGAGUUAUACAAGUCAUCAACCCUGUGAACAUACCUAUAACGUUGCAUCGGCGGGAACAGAGGGCCCCGUAACACGGACCGCCCCCGCCAGAGGACCCCGUAACUCGGUAUCUAUAAUGUUUCUUCUGAGUAAACAAGCAAAUAAAUUAAAACUUUCAACAACGGAUCUCUUGGUUCUGGCAUCGAUGAAGAAGGCAGCGAAAUGGGAUAAGUAAUGUGAAUUGCAGAAUUCAGUGAAUCAUCGAAUCUUUGAACGCACAUUGCGCCCGCCAGUAUUGUGGCGGGCAUGCCUGUUCGAGCGUCAUUACAACCCUCAGGCCCCCGGGCCGGGCGUUGGGGAUGGGCGGAAGCCCCCUGCGGGCACAACGCCGUCCCCCAAAUACAGUGGCGGUCCCGCCGCAGCUUCCAUUGCGUAGUAUUAACACCUCGCAAGUGGAGAGCGGCGCGGCCACGCCGUAAAACACCCAAAUUUGAAUGAGACCAGAAGCAGGAGUGCACAGGAGGUGCUGCCGAGCCCCC